ensembl:snRNA U6 U6 spliceosomal RNA
GUGCUCACUUCGGCAACACAUAUACUAAAAUUGGGACAAUAUGGAGAUUAGCAUGACCGCUGCACAAGGAUGACAUGCAAAUUUGUGACGCAGUCCAUAUUUUU